GACGAACGCUGGCGGCGUGCUUAACACAUGCAAGUCGAGCGGAAAGGCCCUGCUUUUGUGGGGUGCUCGAGUGGCGAACGGGUGAGUAACACGUGAGUAACCUGCCCUUGACUUUGGGAUAACUUCAGGAAACUGGGGCUAAUACCGGAUAGGAGCUCCUGCUGCAUGGUGGGGGUUGGAAAGUUUCGGCGGUUGGGGAUGGACUCGCGGCUUAUCAGCUUGUUGGUGGGGUAGGGGCUUACCAAGGCUUUGACGGGUAGCCGGCCUGAGAGGGUGACCGGCCACAUUGGGACUGAGAUACGGCCCAGACUCCUACGGGAGGCAGCAGUGGGGAAUAUUGCACAAUGGGCGGAAGCCUGAUGCAGCAACGCCGCGUGCGGGAUGACGGCCUUCGGGUUGUAAACCGCUUUCGCCUGUGACGAAGCGUGAGUGACGGUAAUGGGUAAAGAAGCACCGGCUAACUACGUG
rnacentral:rRNA from 1 species